AUGCUGCAGGUUAAUAAUAAUCGCACAUGUAACCAUAUCAUAGAUGCAUCAUAUGUGGUAUACAUGGCAGGCGAAUGGGCCCAUAUUCACCUUUGAUAUCUCCAGAAUUCAUGGGAUUUAACCCCAACUUUAGUUGGUUUAUUAAUUAAUGAGAACAAGACAAUAUAAGAGAAUCCGUAAAGAACUUUCUAGUUCUUUAAUAUUUACCUAUAUAAAUUCUCGUUUAUUUUGCACAUCAUACUUUAAUUAAUAUGACUAAACCAGCUAUGUCAACUGGA
rnacentral:lncRNA from 1 species